rnacentral:lncRNA from 1 species
AGAAUAAAUACCCCUGAUCCAGCAGAAAAAUGUGCUGUAAAGAGCUGAGCCAUACAAAAUUAGAAGGACAUUCUAUUUGUCCCAAAGAACAAGUCUGAAAUCAAUCUUGGGGUAAUGGAAGAGGAAUAAGUGACAUCCAUAAUUGAUGGGUUAGCAAGAAAAAAGUACAUUGGGGAGUCUAGUGUCCUACUGAAAGUUACAGUCACAACAAUGAGCAUGUUUCCCACCAUGGUCAAAAUGUAGACAAACAAGAAAAUAGCAAAAAGGACCUGUUGCUCUUUUGGAUCCUGUGUGAGGCCCAAGAGGACAAAUUUUUCUAGGGGCAGGAUGAUCAUGGCAUCGACAGCUUCAGCAUCUCCUUCAGCAUCCUUGUCCUGAGCACGUGUGUUUCUGUAUUCGCAGGGAAAUCAAACCAACAACUGGAUCCUCUUCAAGUCUUUGGAGUGGGGAAGGUCGCUGCAGGACUUGCAGACAUGAAAAUACAUGGAACAAAGAAGAAGACUAUCACAGUGAUGUGGGAAGCAC